GGGUUAUUUACCAAAGUGGUGCUAAGUCAGAAAUUCAAAGCGAAUACAAACUGAUUAUAAAUGUCCAGGUCUGAAAAGACAUGUGACUUGUGGAUUUAUUUCCGUUUCAGCUACUGCAAUCUAAAUUCUGAAAUUUGAUUUGAAUUCCUAACAGUUUCCAUUUUACUGAAUAGACCGUCAGCAGGGAUGUUGCUUAUGUUCUGCC